CAUUUGGUUUGUGGAUGAUUUUCCAUCCAAUAUAUCUGUAUAAGACUGAAAAGGAAGAUUUGUCAGUCCAUAUUACCUUCCCCAGUAAGUCUCAAUCCAAGAUAGGUGGUUUAUGGUCCAUGCCAACCUUUUUUUUUCAUUGAACUGAUAUAAACAUAGGUUUUCACUUACUCUUGUAAGAGCCAUAUUCCAUGUUCUGUAGCUUGCUACUAGCAUUUGGUUGAGAUACAGGUUGGCAUAUUUGUUCCAUAGUUCUGCAGCUUCCAAUAUACCAAGUUAAUGUUUAACCACAAGACAGUACAAAACUAUCUUCUCUGGCAAUAGUUUGUGUGGUCUACUGUUGCUGCAUCAAGGCUCAAUAGAACUGGUCUUCUCGUAAUGUUUGAAAAUGGUUCUGACUGUAGAUUUGUUUAAGCCCAAUUCUCGAGCAAUAUGUCAUAUAGCUGUUCCAUUUUGUCAGUUAAGGAAGAUCUUUUUGGUAUUUGCAAUUCUAACUUCUUUCUUGCCAUUUUUUCAACUUGUGAAGUGUGCAAAAAGUAUAUCAGAUUUUAUACUUUUAUUUGCAUAUGUCGAUUGGACAAAUCACAAAUCAAGAUAAAAUUUGCUUGUCCAGCCAAGCAUCAUCUGCCAAAUACUGGAUUUACAUAAAUUUAUUGCCUCAGAGUUUUGAGAGACUUAUAUUGACAAACCUGAUGAGAAUUUGUAAUGAAUUUUGUUGUAAACUAUAGCUCGGGUGGAGUGUUUUGUUUGAUAAAG
rnacentral:lncRNA from 1 species